rnacentral:lncRNA from 1 species
GAGGAUCUGCACAUCAGCCCAGUCCAUGCAUCUUCACUAGUGAGCAGUAUGCUCAAAUUCCGCAGUUACUUACUAAAAAAGACAAUGUUAAGUACUUAGAUCAUGGUGCACGUAAAAUAGUAGAGUCAAUCGGCUCGGUCCAUUGAUUAUAGACACCGGUGUAACCAGUCUCAUGGUUGUAGAUCUCAGUGCUUUAGUCCAAAUAUUUAUAACUAUGACUAAUGUUUCAAAGAUAGUAUAUUUACAAAAUGGUGAUAUAUCGAUAGUCACACAUAUUGGCUCAAGUAAUAUGUUUGGAUAGGACAUAACUACUAAUGUCUUUCACUUGCCUCAGUUUAAAUUUAACUUACUAUCAGUAUCUAAACUCACAAAAGAGUUAUAUUGUCUUGGUGCUUUUUAUCCUGAUUUGUAUGUAUUUUAGGAUCUUUAAGUGGGAAGGUGAAGGAGAUUAGUAGAGAAGCUGAUGGAAUCUAUACCUUUGCCAGUACUACUACAAUGAAUAAUGUUGUGAUAAUUACUCAAACACCUGGUGCACCUAUUGAUUCAAUUACUAAAUCUAUUUGUGAUUCUGCUAUUGAUAGUGUCAACUUAGACUUAGUUUUAUGGCAUAAAAUUAUAGGCCAUGCUUCAACCAUUGUACUCAAAAGAAUCCUAUCCAUAGAUAGUAGCAUAUCACUGAAUGUGUAGUUUGUCGUUGUGCAAAGCAAGUCAAACUUCCUUUUCCUGCUACAUGUAUUAAGACUUCUAACACUUUUGAAUUUCUUCACAUGGAUGUAUGGGGCCUAUAAAGUUCCCACAUUCGAAAGAAAUAGAUAUUUUUUUAUAAUGGUUGAUGACUACUCUAAAUGACUUGGAUCAAUCUCCUUAAGCUUAAGUCUGAUAUGUGUGUAUACAUAUCUCAGUUUAUUUAGUUUGUUAAGACUCAAUUUGAUAAUAAAAUUAAAGUCAUUAGUUAUGAUAAUGGAACUGAGCUUAUGAACUCAGUAUGUCAUACUUUCUUUGCAAUGUUAGGCAUCAUUCAUUAAACCUGAUGUGCCUACAACCCCGAGUACAAUGGAGUGGCUGAGAGAAAACACAAGAACAUUUUGGAAGUCAGUAGGGCCUUAAGAUUUCAAUUUGCAAUACCAAUUGAAUUCUAGGGUUUGUGUGUUAAAGAAGAUGUGUAUAUCAUCAAUAAGCUACCCUACAGCUGUAGACACGUAAUUUUGUCCCUCCCAAAAACCCAAUUCAUCUAUUUUUACCUCGCGUUGUCAUACACCCUCGCCCACGUGAUUAUCCCUCCAUAAAAUGACAAAAAUAACAACCCUUAAAAAAUUUUACCUUGUUUUAAUCUUAUCCUAACUAACUCACCCUACCUCACCUACCCUAUACCCUCACCCAUACCCCACUCCUUCUCCACGUAAUCCCUCUCCCACAUUUCUUUUCCAUAAAGUAAAAGGCUUAUACACACAAAGAUUCUAUCCAAUUGGGGAGGGGGGGACCACUGACCACUAACAUAAUAUAUACAAUAUACACACUGCCAUUAGAGGGGGGGAGAAAAAAAGCAGUGAAAGAAAAAGGGGGAGCACACACGGAUUCCAUUUUUAUCUUGGAAUCAGAGGCGAUAUACGGAGAGAGAGAAAGAAGGGACCAAUUUUGUCAUCAUCUUCAUGAGGAAAAACAAAAAAUUGAUAUAGGUAGAAGCUAGAAAAACACCAUUAGGGACCGAUUGUUCUUCUCCUUUCUUAUCCAUCGGCACACACCCCUGAGACGCCAUUGUUUUUUGCUCUUUCUUUUUUUGCAACACGCGACACACAGUAACAAAAAGGGUACUAACACUCACACAGUGAGAGUAAAUCAAAAGAAUGAAGAGAGUUUGAGUGAGAUCCAAUCAUUUUCUCGAGAUAUUCUGGCGAACCUUCACCGAAAUCAGGUUAAGUUCGUUGUUUGCUCGGUCCAAAUCCAAAAACCCAAUCUUCUUGUCAUUUUCGUUGGUUUCUAGCUGAAUCUGGCAAGAAACAGUGAGGUUGUCGGGAUCUAUUUUGGGACUUUUUUUUGCUGCCCCGUUUGAGUUCACCAGAACUCAGAUUACACCGGAUUCGAUCUUCCGUCAGGUCGAUUGAGGCUUUAGUUUUGGGUUGUUAUUUUUCUAUCCAAGUUGGAUUCAUCGCUGUUGAGGUUCUAUUCGAAAUUUCAAGUCCAAGUUUUCUUAUUAUAAACAGAAAUCAAUUAUCAAAAGGUCCAUUUUCUUUAACUCGUUCUCUUUUCUUUAUCUCGAUUUGUUGAAUUGGUUACGAAUAUGUGUAGUAUGAUAAUGAUUGUUGGAUUUUGUUGAUAUCAUAAUGUUAUGGUUAUGUGCUUGACGACGUGAUUUUGGUGAUAUAUGAAACAAAUUAGGAUAAUUUUUUAUGGCAUGAUUGAUAAAAAAAAUGAAUUUUGGGGGUGAGAAUGGAGAAAUUGAUAAAAGUUUAAAUGUAGAUUAAAUUUGGUUUGUGGUCUUUUUUUGUGUUUAAUUCAGAAUAAGCAUGAAUGUGAUUGAUUUAUGAUAUGUUGAAAUGGAUAAGCAAUAUAGGUUAGGGUAGUCAAAAUUUAGGAGUGAUGUGUUGAUGGAACGCUUUGAAUGUUUAAAUGUGUGUUUUGAACAUUUUUUCUAGUUAACUUAUUUAAUUCAUAUGUAUUCGUUUGGCCGGGGAAUUCCCCGAGAUAUUUGUGUUCAUUUAUCGGGGAAUGCCCCGAGGUAUUUUUAUUCUGAGGACGUUCGCAAUGAAGGCCCGAGGCAUUGGGUAAAGCACGGGAGCAUAGUUAGGAUUAGUGUAGAUUAGAGUAGGAUUUAUUUUUUGCAUUUUUUAUUUUGGACUGUAUAAUUGGACUGAACACUAUAUUUUGGAUUUGUUUUGUUGGUGUGUUUGGUUGUUUUAUGUGUUUCAUGUGAUUUAUACAUUUGUAAUGUCAAAUUAGCCAAUACACCUCACUAAGCGACCGUGGUCGAACCACGGGAUCAAGGGGUGCAUAACACCUUCCCUUCGGUCAACAGAAUUCCUUAGUCGGAAUCUCUGUUCGCAAACCAGUUUUAAAGAGUCAAAUCAUUUUGAAUAGAAUUUUCAAAAGGUGACUUGGCACACCAGAUUAUGCCAAGUGGUGAAUAUGAGUUUAAAUGUAAGAAGUCCUUUUUCGGAACAAAUUUUCAUCUUUUAUCUUUUUGAUAAUAAAAACCCUUUCAAACCUUAAAAUCAAUGAAUUCUUUUUUCGACUUAGAAAAGGGGUGUGACAACAGCUAUACUAGAUCACAUAUCUCCAUAUGAGAAAUUAUAUGAAAAAAAACCUACUAUUAUUCAUAUGAGAUUUCUAGGUUUCCUGUACUAUGCUAAGACAGUGCAACAAUCAGAUAAACUGCAAUCCAGAAUAAGAGAAUGUAUUUUAAUUUGCUAUUCUAAAACUCAGAAGGGCUAUUUACUUUAUGAUCAUGCUAACAAAGUAUUUUUUGUCAACAGAGAUAUCAGAGAAGACAUGUUUCCUUUCAAAGAAAGACUCUUGAAACUCAAUAUCUCAUAGCUGCCAAACUCAAUGAGACCGUAGUUAAUUGGUUAGAUAUGGAUCGAUGCUCUCACAUGAUACAUCAAUUGUUCAAAGACCACCAGAGGAAUCUAAUGAUCCUAGGGUACAAGAAUAUACUACACAAGUGAAGAUUGAUUAGGAUCAAACACCAAACACAUAUCAAGUUGAGGAUUAUAUACAAGUAGCUCAAAGAAGGACCACCAGAACUAGAAAGGCUCCUUUACGGCUCAAGGACUUUGUGUCUCUCAAUAUUCAUCAGGAACAACCUUAUGCUUUGGGAAAAUACUUGACCUAUGAUACGCUGUCUCCUAAGUACCAGGCAUACGCUGUCUCCUAAGUACCAGGCAUACAUCCAAUCCUGUAUGUCAUGAAAGGACAAAGCACAUUGAAAUAGACUGUCAUUUCAUAAGGGAGAUGCUCAAUCAAGGACUAGUAACAGUCAACUAUAUUUCUACUAAUGAUCAGCCUGCUGAUGUGCUAACUAAGGGUCUCAAUAGAGCUCAACAUGAACACUUGUUAUCCAAGCUAGGCAUGCUUAAUCUAUUUGAGAUUACCUAGCUUGAGGGAGAGUGUUGAAAGAAGGAAGAUUAGCUGGGCCAUUGAAGAAAACAUUGUUGAAGUAGUGUUAACUAUUUUUCGGAUAAUAGUUAAUAACUAGCUCUGUGUAUUAUAACUAAUUAAGUUAGUUAAGUAGUUAGCUUUUGGACUCUUCUAUAAUCAACUAUAUAUAGAUUCUAAACACUCUAUGUAUCACACAUUGACAAGAUUCAAUCAAUGAAAAGACUUCCACUCUUCUUCUUUGCAUUUCCUCUCUUCUUUCUUCUUUCUCAUUUCAUGUUAUAGAGUUCAUAAUCCAAGAAUUCUGAUUUUGUUCAUUAAUUAUUGACAUGCUAAAUGGAAAGAUUGAUAAAAAAAAUUAUUUAUGAGAAAUUUAUUAAGUCCCACACGAAAGGAGAGGAUGCAGUGGAGAAUGAACAUAUUUGUUUCCUAGUUACAUGGCUUUGUGUUCGUUUUUUGCAAUGGUUCAUUAAGGCCAACAAAGAAAUAUAGCCAAUUAUUUGUUGCUCUUUUUGUUGACCUUAAUGAACUAUUGCAAAAUAUGUACUUACAAAGACACAAUAAUUAGGAAAGAGAUUUUCAACCUCCUCUACACCCUCUCUUUUCAUGUUGACCUCGAUAAAUUUCUCAUAAUAUAAUCUUUUAAAAUUCUCACACUUUGGAAAGGUAAAGAUUGAGUUUGAGACGUCGAGUGUUGCACUAAUCACCUAGUCAUGAGGCCUUUGUGUUGUUAAAGGCAACAAGGGAUUUUUCUCCUACAUGAGCAUUAUAUGUAUGUGUCAUGUUAAUUAUUAUAAAAUUUGUAUUAUUGCAUUGUCAAUGGAUUACCAUAUAAUAUAAAUAUUAGCAUAACAAACACGCAUUGUAAUACAAAGUUAUUUAAUAGAUUAGAACAUAUUAUAUAAGUUAUUCGCUUAAACAAGUAACACUUAUGAAAUCAUAUUGUAAUUUAUUAUUGGUUGUUUUAUCAAUAAUAAAUUGAUAUCAUAUCAUAAUGGCACUAAUAAAUUGAUAUGAUAUCACAAAGACAAUUUUUUUACUUGUAAUUGGUCAUUAAGAUAUUGUUAUGCCACCAAAAUAAGAAUGACUCAUCAAAAAAAUUAAAGGUACUAUAAGGUUGCUUUGCAUUAUAGGUACAAAUUUAUUCAACAUAUUAUUAUUUCUUAAAUGGUCAUUAAAAUCUUAAUUGCUUUAAAAAAUUUAAGGCUAAAUACCAAGAUAGUCUAUCAAACUUCACACAGUUUGUAAGUUAGACACAUUGACUUAACCAGUGACUAGAUAAAUGUUGAAAAAUAUGUUCCAACGGCACAAAAAUAUAUAUAUAUACAAGAUAAAGGUUUGACAUACGAACAAUGAACACAAGAUUUAAGGCUUGAAACACGUGUGAAACAUUUUAUUUUAUGUUCGCUUUGCACGUGUUUCAAUCCUCAAAUCUUGUGUUCGUUGUACGUAUCAUUAAACCUCCAUCUUGUGUUCUUCUUCAUAUAUUUUUGUAUUCUUAAUAGAUAUUUCCAACAAUCUAAAAAGGAUAUUUGCUCCCUCUUCUCUACGAGUUUGCUAUGGGAUUGUACGCAAAUAGUUUUAGUGGAUAUGAUAAGCCUAUGGAUUUCUGCACUAAGCAAACAGUGAAGAAAAUCAUAUUGGAAAGCAAGAAAAUGAACUACAUCUUUUUGACGAAGAAAAUAUUAUUUUGGGAAAAAAUGUAAAGAAAGACUCUUGAAAAAAUAUUUCUGUAAAAGAUACAUUAGAAAUAAGAGGAUGUUGGAUUUAAAUAGAAUAGGUGAAAAAAACAAACAAUAAAAAGUACACUACGUAUUAUUUAAAAGACACUUCAUCAAAAAAUAUCCCUCUUAUAAUUAUUAAUUUGAUUUAAACAAAAAUCUGACAAUAAAUAUUUUAACUUGGUAAAAGUUAAAGUAUCAAAUUUACAAGCUCUGUCAAGUUUGAAGACCUACGUUGGUAAAUUUUCUAUAUAUUUUAAAUAGACACUGAUUUAAUACAUAAAAUUUGGUUAAUUUUCAAAACUUAUAAAUAAGAAAAAUAAUUAAAUAAAUAUUUUCUUAGGUGUUUACUCUAUUUAAAAGGAUAAAAAGGAGACGAUAUUUUGUUGCAAGGCUUACUUAAAAAUUUGGUAAUAACUUCAGUUUAAGUUUUUCAUUUUACCUUUCAUGCUUGUGACAUUUGGAUGAGCUUAUAGCAUUUAACAUAAGUCAAAAAUCAUAAGUUAAGAAUUCUAGCUUAAAAUUUUGUCUUAUUUUUUUUUGGGGGGGGGGGGAUUACAAUCAGGCUUAAAAGAACUUUUUUAUUUUAUUCAAAUAGUAUAAAAAUCCUAAAAGCAAUUUUGACUUAAAAACUAUUAAAUAAGUCAAUUUGAAUAGACUUUAAGAAAUAUACUAAUGAAUGUAUGUACUUACUUUAUCAGAAGAUGAGAUACUACCCAUAUUAAUUAAUUGGGGUAACGUCUCUCACUUAAUUAUUUAAUUAUUAAUUAUCUAUAUUUAUUUAAGCACCAUAUGUGGUUAAGUACUUGUUGAUGGUUGAAAUCUCUCUCAUCAGAAAUAAAACGGCAAACUGUUGGAUACUGUGAAGCUAGCAUACAUGUUUCUGUCAAAUUGAUUUACACAAAUAAAAAUAUGACAAAUUCAGAAAGUGCACAUUUUGUUUUAAUGUUUAAAGCUAGAGUGUAAGCGAAUCUUAAUACAUGUAAAGAUCUGGAAUAUAAUAAUUUUGUAGAGAGGGGCGUUGCAUAAAACAUACCUGAUAUAGAAGACAUAAUCUUAGAGAAAAGCAAAAGCAUUAAUUGCAAAUGUGCUUUCUCUCGCCAGCGUUAGUUGUAAACCUGAUUUCUCUUACCUUUUCCUAGCUUUACUUUACUAUCGCCGACAGUGAUGGAACAAUUAUAAAGAAUGCGAGGCAACAAAAAUUACAACGAAUAUGUGGUAAACCUAGUGGCUGUU